rnacentral:rRNA from 1 species
AGAGUUUGAUCCUGGCUCAGGAUGAACGCUAGCGACAGGCCUAACACAUGCAAGUCGAGGGGCAGCGGGGAGGUAGCAAUACCUUUGCCGGCGACCGGCGCACGGGUGAGUAACACGUAUGCAAUCCACCUGUAACAGGGGGAUAACCCGGAGAAAUCCGGACUAAUACCCCAUGAUAUGGGCUCUCCGCAUGGAGGGCUCAUUAAAGAGAGCAAUUUUGGUUACAGACGAGCAUGCGCUCCAUUAGCCAGUUGGCGGGGUAACGGCCCACCAAAGCGACGAUGGAUAGGGGUUCUGAGAGGAAGGUCCCCCACAUUGGAACUGAGACACGGUCCAAACUCCUACGGGAGGCAGCAGUGAGGAAUAUUGGUCAAUGGUCGGCAGACUGAACCAGCCAAGUCGCGUGAGGGAAGACGGCCCUACGGGUUGUAAACCUCUUUUGUCGGAGAGUAAAGUGCGCUACGCGUAGCGUAUUGCAAGUAUCCGAAGAAAAAGCAUCGGCUAACUCCGUGCCAGCAGCCGCGGUAAUACGGAGGAUGCAAGCGUUAUCCGGAUUUAUUGGGUUUAAAGGGUGCGUAGGCGGCACGCCAAGUCAGCGGUGAAAUUUCCGGGCUCAACCCGGACUGUGCCGUUGAAACUGGCGAGCUAGAGUGCACAAGAGGCAGGCGGAAUGCGUGGUGUAGCGGUGAAAUGCAUAGAUAUCACGCAGAACCCCGAUUGCGAAGGCAGCCUGCUAGGGUGCGACAGACGCUGAGGCACGAAAGCGUGGGUAUCGAACAGGAUUAGAUACCCUGGUAGUCCACGCAGUAAACGAUGAAUACUAACUGUUUGCGAUACAAUGUAAGCGGUACAGCGAAAGCGUUAAGUAUUCCACCUGGGGAGUACGCCGGCAACGGUGAAACUCAAAGGAAUUGACGGGGGCCCG